rnacentral:rRNA from 1 species
UGGGGAAUUUUGGACAAUGGACGCAAGCCUGAUCCAGCCAUGCCGCGUGCGGGAAGAAGGCCUUCGGGUUGUAAACCGCUUUUGUCAGGGAAGAAACGAGUUUCUCUAAUACAGAGACUUAAUGACGGUACCUGAAGAAUAAGCACCGGCUAACUACGUGCCAGCAGCCGCGGUACUACGUAGGGUGCGAGCGUUAAUCGGAAUUACUGGGCGUAAAGCGUUCGUAGGCGGUUAUAUAAGACAGAUGUGAAAUCCCCGGGCUCAACCUGGGAACUGCGUUUGUGACUGCAUAGCUAGAGUACGGCAGAGGGAGGUGGAAUUCCGCGUGUAGCAGUGAAAUGCGUAGAUAUGCGGAGGAACACCGAUGGCGAAGGCAAUCCCCUGGGCCUGUACUGACGCUCAUGCGCGAAAGCGUGGGGAGCAAAAA